rnacentral:ncRNA from 15 species
UGAAUAAGACAAGCUUAAGGUUACAUUUUUAAGCAAUGUAUUAAAAGGGAAUAUGGUUAAAAUCCAUAACAGCCCCCGCUACUGUAAGAAUGACGAAAACUUAUAUUUUAGUCACUGAGAUAUAUCUCGGGAAGACUUAAGUUAGUAGGAUGAUUUUGAGUCAGGAGACCUGCCCUAUGCUUUUAAAAGAAA